rnacentral:rRNA from 1 species
GACGAACGCUGGCGGCGUGCCUAAUACAUGCAAGUAGAACGCAGUUGCGAACGGGUGAGUAACGCGUAGGUAACUGCCUCAUAGCGGGGGGUAACUAUUGGAAACGAUAGCUCAUACCGCAUCCUUUGAGAUGGACCUGCGUUGUAUUAGCUAGUUGGGGGGGUAAAGGCUCACCAAGGCGACGGUACAUAGCCGAGCUGAGAGGGUGAUCGGGCACAACGGGACUGAGACACGGCCCAAACGCCUACGGGAGGCCGCAGUAGGGAAUCUUCGGCAAUGGGCGGAAGUCUGACCGAGCAACGGCGGGGGAGUGAAGAAGGUUCUCGGAUCGUAAAGCUCUUUUGUUAGAGAAGCGUUAACUAACCAGAAAGGGACGGCUAACUACGUGCCAGCAGCCGCGGUAAUUC